rnacentral:rRNA from 1 species
AAACUGGAGAGUUUGAUCCUGGCUCAGAACAAACGCUGGCGGCGUGCCUAACACAUGCAAGUCGUACGUGAAAGGACCCUUCGGGGUCCGAGUAAAGUGGCGCACGGGUGAGUAACGCGUGGAUAAUCUACCCUUUAGACUGGGAUAACCUACCGAAAGGUGGGCUAAUACCAGAUAACGCUAUUCAUGCUCCGGCAUAAUAGCCAAAGGGGGCCUCUGGCUCAAGCUCCCGCUGAAGGAUGAGUCCGCGUACCAUUAGCUAGUUGGUAGGGUAAUGGCCUACCAAGGCGACGAUGGUUAGCUGGUCUGAGAGGAUGAUCAGCCACACUGGAACUGAGACACGGUCCAGACUCCUACGGGAGGCAGCAGUGAGGAAUCUUGCGCAAUGGGGGAAACCCUGACGCAGCAACGCCGC